rnacentral:tRNA from 1 species
GGCUCGGUAGCUUAGUUGGAAAAGCACUUGUCUAGCGAAUAAGGGUCGUGAUCUCAAACCCCACCUGAGCUG